rnacentral:tRNA from 1 species
UCCCUGGUGGCUCAGAUGGUAAAAGCAUCUGCCUGCAAUGUGGGAGACCCGGGUUCAAUCCCUGGGUUGGGAA